CGUUGUAAAAUGUCGGCGAGCGGCGGACGGCUGAGUAACGCGUGGGAACGUACCCCAAAGUGAGGGAUAACGCAUCGAAAGGUGUGCUAAUACCGCAUAUGGUCUUCGGAUUAAAGCCUUCGGGCGCUUUGGGAACGGCCUGCGUAAGAUUAGAUAGUUGGUGGGGUAAUGGCCUACCAAGUCGACGAUCUUUAACUGGUUUGAGAGGAUGAUCAGUCAGACUGGAACUGAGACACGGUCCAG
rnacentral:rRNA from 1 species